GGAAUCUCUGUUAUUGUUCUGUGAGCUUGAUGGACACUCUCACUGUUCUGAUUAAUUUGCAGACUUCUAACAGGCUCAUUGUGACAUCAUUUUAAUACUUUCAAUUCUGAAUGACGAGUAAAUAUUCGUUACAACGAUGAUACCAUAUCAAACUUAUAACAACCUAAUCAAAAAUCGAAAAUCGAUUGGACAGUAUAGGAUAUCAUCACGGGAA
rnacentral:lncRNA from 1 species